UCAAAACUAGGACCAAGAUAGUUCUUCAAAAAACAUAACUUUGGUUGAAGAAAUCAAAAAAGAUUUAGGUAUUGAAAAAAACAUUCCAGUGAAAGAGAUAUUACCUGCAUCGCCAAUUACAGAGACUCACAUUUGUUCUUCUAUAACAAAGGACACUGAAUUAGAUGACAAAGCCCAACUAGAUGAUGAAGCAAAACACUUUUUUCUAAAAAUUGCUAUAGAUAACUUAACAAGUUUUGAGGCUUGUUCUUCUACUAUACAAAAUAAUGCACCAUAUAGUGAAUCAGCAGAAGAUUUAAACAUCGAUUUUUGUGUGGAAUCUAACUCGUCACUUCACAAUACAAGUUUAGAGGUUUAAGUUUGUU